ensembl:misc_RNA Metazoa_SRP Metazoan signal recognition particle RNA
GCUGGGCAUGGUGGUGCAUGCCUGUAGUCCCAGCUACUUGGAGGCUGAGGCAAGAGAAUUGCUUGAACCCAGGAGGCAGAGGUUGCAGUGAACCGAGAUCAUGCCACUGCACUUCAGCCUUCAGCCUGGGCAACAGAGCAAGAAUCUGUCUCAA